rnacentral:sRNA from 1 species
CUCGAAACCUCCCCAAGUCGGGUCGGGGCUCCGCGGGACCGGCCGGCUCCAUCCCACAGAACGAGUCCCUGGAGAGGCAGAUGCGCGAGCAGGAGGAGCGCCACGUGCGGGAGGCGGCCAGUUAUCAGGAGGCGCUGGCGCGGCUGGAGGAAGAGGGGCAGAGCCUCAAGGACGAGAUGGCCCGCCACUUGCAGGAGUACCAGGACCUGCUCAAUGUCAAGCUGGCCCUGGACAUCGAGAUCGCCACCUACAGGAAGCUGCUAGAGGGCGAGGAGAACCGGAUCACCAUUCCCGUGCAGACCUUCUCCAACCUGCAGAUUCGAGAAACCAGCCUGGACACCAAGUCUGUGUCAGAAGGCCACCUCAAGAGGAACAUCGUGGUGAAGACCGUGGAGAUGCGGGAUGGAGAGGUCAUUAAGGAGUCCAAGCAGGAGCACAAGGAUGUGAUGUGAGGCAGGACCCACCUGGUGGCCUCUGCCCCGUCUCAUGAGGGGCCCGAGCAGAAGCAAGAUAGUUGCUCCGCCUCUGCUGGCACAUUUCCCCAGACCUGAGCUCCCCACCACCCCAGCUGCUCCCCUCCCUCCUCUGUCCCUA